GACGAACGCUGGCGGCGUGCUUAACACAUGCAAGUCGAACGGCAGCGCCCUGCUUUUGCGCUGUUCCCGAUUGGCGAACGGGUGAGUAACACGUAAGUAACCUGCCCUUCACUUUGGGAUAACUUCAGGAAACUGGGGCUAAUACCGUAUCGCAGCUCCUGCUGCGUGGAGGGGGUUGGAAAUUUGCGGCGGUUGGGGAUGGACGCGCGGCUUAUCGGCUUGUUGGUGGGGUAGUGGCUUACCAAGGCUUUGACGGGUAGCCGGCAUGAGAGGGUGACCGGCGACAUGGGGACUGAGAGACGGACCAGACUCCUACGGGGGGCAGCAGUGGGGAGUAUGGCACAAUGGGCGGAAGCCUGAUGCAGCAACGCUGGGGGCGGGAUGACGGCCUGCGGGGUGUGAAACGCUUUAGCUUGUGACGAAGCGUGAGUGACGGUAAUGGGUAAAGAAGCACCGGCUAACUACGUG
rnacentral:rRNA from 1 species